rnacentral:rRNA from 1 species
UACGGAGGGUGCGAGCGUUGUCCGGAAUCACUGGGCGUAAAGGGCGCGUAGGCGGCGCGGGGAGUCAACGGUGAAAGCUCGGCGCUCAACGCCGAGUCGGCCGUCGAUACUCCCGUGCUCGAGCACUGUAGAGGCAGGUGGAAUUUCGGGUGUAGCGGUGGAAUGCGUAGAGAUCCGGAAGAACACCGGUGGCGAAGGCGGCCUGCUGGGCAGUAGCUGACGCUGAGGCGCGACAGCGUGGGGAGCAAACAGG